UGGUCGAUCAACAGAAGGAAGGGGGCGACACCCACACUUCCAAAACCUAAAAAUCUACUAAACUCUCAAAUUGAAGGCCAAAAUUCAGUUGAAAUCGGAAUCUAAACAUAGAAUCGUGAUCUCCUCCUCAAGAAGGUCAUAAGGCAAGGAAUCCGGAACGUCAAGUGGACACGCCGGAGGUGAUACCCGCGGAAAAGGUGUGCUUUGAAGGUAUGAAUGAGGUCCUCCCGGAUGGCGAUCAAGUACAUGUCAAGAACCGAACACAUAUUUCGAAGCUUCCGCACUAAACUUAAUUUUGUCUAAACUUUAAACAUGAUGUAAUUUCUUUUGUUGAUCGUGUUUUUAAAUCCCUCAAACUAGUGAUUAGUUUA